GGUCACACUGGGACUGAGACACUGCCCAGACUCCUACGGGAGGCUGCAGUCGAGAAUCUUUCGCAAUGGACGCAAGUCUGACGAAGCGACGCCGCGUGGACGAUGAAGGCCUUCGGGUCGUAAAGUCCUGUCACGAGGGAAGAAAUGUAUAUAUGCUAAUAUCGUGUAUACUUGACGGUACCUCGAGAGGAAGCUCCGGCUAACUCCGUGCCAGCAGCCGCGGUAAUACGGAGGGAGCAAGCGUUGUUCGGAUUUACUGGGCGUAAAGGGCGUCUAGGCGGUAUGGAAAGUUGGAUGUGAAAUCCCUCGGCUUAACCGAGGAACUGCAUUCAAAACUCUCAAACUAGAGUAUGGCAGAAGUGAACGGAAUUCUGAGUGUAGCGGUGGAAUGCGUAGAUAUUCAGAAGAACACCAGUGGCGAAGGCGGUUCACUAGGCCAAUACUGACGCUGAAGCGCGAAAGCCAGGGGAGCGAACGGGAUUAGAUACCCCGGUAGUCCUGGCCGUAAACGAUGUGUACUGGGUGUAGGAGGUAUCGACCCCUCUUGUGCCGAAGCUAACGCGAUAAGUACACCGCCUGGGGAGUACGGGCGCAAGCCUGAAACUCAAAGGAAUUGACGGGGGCCCGCACAAGCGGUGGAGCAUGUGGUUUAAUUCGAUGCAACGCGAAGAACCUUACCAGGGCUUGACAUGUACCGGACGAUCUGUGAAAGCAGAUUUUUCUUCGGAACUGGUAUACAGGUGCUGCAUGGCUGUCGUCAGCUCGUGUCGUGAGAUGUUGGGUUAAGUCCCGCAACAAGCGCAACCCCUGCUGUCUGUUGCUAACACUUCGGGUGAGGACUCUGACAGGACUGCCGGUGUUAAACCGGAGGAAGGUGGGGAUGACGUCAAGUCAGUAUGGCCCUUACGCCCUGGGCUACACACGUGCUACAAUGGUCGGUACAGAGGGUCGCAAAGCCGUGAGGUGGAGCAAAUCCCAGAAAGCCGGCCCCAGUUCGGAUUGGAGUCUGCAACUCGACUCCAUGAAGUUGGAAUCGCUAGUAAUGGCGUAUCAGCUACGACGCCGUGAAUACGUUCCCGGGCCUUGUACACACCGCCCGUCACAUCACGAAAGUCGAUUGUACCUUAAGUCGCUGAGCUAACCUUCGGGAGGCAGGUGCCGACGGUAUGGUUGACAAUUGGGAUGAAGUCGUAACAAGGUA
rnacentral:rRNA from 1 species